AUGGAAGGCCUCUUGCAUUGGGACUUUGCCCCGGGCUUGGCCCUGGCAGAUCAGGUGCGAAAAAAGUUUGGUUCUACGGUGCAUUUCUCCCCCUCUCGCGACCCCAAGGAGUUUUUUCUUGUGGUUACUUUCUCAUCAGCCUCAUUCCCUCUCAUAGAAGAAUAUGUGGGUCUUGCACUCCAAUGUUGCAUUGGG
rnacentral:rRNA from 1 species